UACGGAAGGCAGCAGUGGGGAAUAUUGGACAAUGGGCGAAAGCCUGAUCCAGCCAUGCCGCAUGAGUGAAGAAGGCCUUCGGGUUGUAAAGCUCUUUUAGUGAGAAAGAUAAUGACGGUACUCACAGAAGAAGUCCUGGCUAACUCCGUGCCAGCAGCCGCGGUAAUACGGAGGGUGCGAGCGUUAAUCGGAAUUACUGGGCGUAAAGGGCACGCAGGCGGUUAAUUAGUUGGAUGUGAAAUCCCCGGGCUUAACCUGGGAAUGGCAUUCAAGACUGGUUAGCUAGAGUCUUGUAGAGGGGGUAGAAUUCCAUGUGUAGCGGUGAAAUGCGUAGAGAUGUGGAGGAAUACCGGUGGCGAAGGCGGCCCCUGGACAAAGCUGACGCUCAUGUGCGAAAGCGUGGGGAGCAAACAGGGAUUAGAUACC
rnacentral:rRNA from 1 species